CCCUUCCAGUCUCCUGCCUGUCCCCUCUCCUCUCCCUGAAGACCACUUUCUAGGUACAUCCAUCAGCUUGCCAGGCCCCCAAGACAGCCACUGCAGACGCUAAGUCUCCAUGGCCUGCACACUGGCUGCAGUCCCUCUCAUUUUCAUAAUUUCAAGCUACAGAAAAGAACCGAGCCAUAAAAGACCUAAGUCCCCAGACAGCACGGAGCCAGGAGCCUCCUACCCUUGCUGGAUCAUCCCAGGCCAAGAGAAGUGAAUGAUCUACUGGGACCUGGCCUUUUAGAGCAAGAAAGCCUGCGGGCAGAGAAGCCAUAACAGACCUACCCUCUACACUGAGAACCACUCUACUCACUAUCUAAUUGAGUAGAAGAAAACAAGGAUGUCAUUUGUGAGAGGAAACAUUAAGGGGAGGAACUGUGAUUGCUUGCAUAUUCAUUCAAUGGGCAUUUAUUAAACACCACAGGCCAGGAACUGAACCGGACCCAGGUAAUACAAAGCACAGAGACCGGGGAUCUACCAGAAGGUGGAAUCAGAAGCAGACUGGUGUGUCCAGCAUGAGGUUACUUUGUUACCACUGGAGCCAUGUGUGCCCCAGACACAGGGCUGCUGGGUUUACACAGUAGCCCCUUGCUCUGG